GACAGAGGAUGCAAGCGUUAUCCGGAAUGAUUGGGCGUAAAGCGUCUGUAGGUGGCUUUUUAAGUCUGCCGUCAAAUCCCAGGGCUUAACCCUGGACAGGCGGUGGAAACUACCAAGCUGGAGUACGGUAGGGGCAGGGGGAAUCUCCGGUGGAGCGGUGAAAUGCGUAGAGAUCGGAAAGAACACCAACGGCGAAAGCACUCUGCUGGGCCGACACUGACACUGAGAGACGAAAGCUAGGGGAGCGAAUGGG
rnacentral:rRNA from 1 species